rnacentral:lncRNA from 1 species
GGAGAGGGAGCACUCAAGAAUAUUUGCUUGGAAAGUAGAAUGACUAGAUUAGUUGCUUAAAGUUGCCUUUGUAUAGUGAAGUUUUACUUUCAUUGUAUAGUAUUUGGGUGGAUAGCUGAGGAGGUUAUGGGGAGGGUUACUCUGUGUUGGUCUUCAGGGCACCCUGACAGCACAAAAUUGCUGUGGAUAACAUAGUCCAGUGUUAGAGUUACCAGUCUGGGUUUUACAAAUGGAUGCUUUGUAUUAAAGUCUUGUUCUUUUCUAGUCAUUUUUGUUGUCUGACCCAAGAACUCCAAAGUCUUCAUUCUUCCUUAGCCUAGAACAAGCCUUUCUGAAUUCUGCUGUCACUGUCAUGUGCUUAUAACACCCCUGUUUCUCCCGACAGUCCUGGCCGUCUUCCCCACUUCACCUGUAUCCAUGGUUCUCAGCAGAAACAUUUAAGGGAGAAGUGCUUUCAUAAAAGCACUUCCCUUCAAAAACCUGAAUGUUUGUGUAGACUUUAUAUCUUUUUCUCAGAGGACCUAAUAUAGAGCUGAGAAGAGAUUCCAGCUUCAGAG